AUUGUGGAUGAGUUGCAUUUCCCUGGACCCAUGGUAUCAGGAGAUGCAGGAACUACUCAGUAAACACCCUGGUGACCAAACCAAGUGCCCAGGGGCCAGCUGCCCCGCA